GCAGCAGCCGAGCCGUCCCUGAGGAGGGUCUGCCUGGAGCCGAGCGGGCGAGCGUGGGGCUGCCCUUGGGCUGCCCCUGAGCUGCGGAGGACCCUGGUGGCAGGGUUCCCCUGGACACAGCCGGUCGGCGGCCCUUGCCCCUCGGUGCUCUCUUCGCUGUCCCGCGUCUCUUGCGGUGAGGUCUGUCAGCGCGGCGCGGAGUCCGCCUCAGCAGCUCUUCCCGCCUGCCCCAGCGCCUUCUCCUGGCUGCGGUUCACUGCCUGUUCAAUGUGUCUAAAACUUCCCCAUUCCACCCGGACCCUGUGCUGCUCCCCGCUGAAAUCGCUUUGAUGCUAGCGCAGAUGGUGUUCAGCGGAGGAGUCCCGGGCUGAAAGACAGCCUGGCAAGAAGGAAAACGAGAAAAAAAUAAUUCAGGGUAAUUUUCUCCAGAUCGAUUCAGAUAAUGGCACAAAUUACUCUUUUGGCACCGUGUGAAAGGGGGAGGGAGAGCAAGAACUGCUGAAGAAAGCUGUGCCAGUUUGAAUGCGUGCUACACGUUUACGAGGGUGUUUUUCAACAGCAGUGUUUGUGUAAGAAGUCUGAAGCGUCUGUGCGCCAAUACAGCUGCUCCUGUGGCUCUACGGUACUCUCCUCCUGUCACCUCUGGAUCGUUAUGUCUCUAUUGAGGACAGAAGAGGAUCAAGCCCUAAACAGAAAACCAUGAUCUUGAGAUAUUGGAGGCUGAAAGAAUCCAGAGUUUUUGAAACAAGAAGGGUGAAACAAGGCCUUCUGCCCAAGCUCCUGACUGUGUGACAUGAUCCUUCAAAUCAUGAAGAACAGGGUUGCUGCUUCAUCUCCAGGUGUAUGAAUUCCACUUACCAUGUUAUGAACUUGGUUUGAGAAGCAAAAUCAAACAGAAUGUGGAAGUUGCCAAAAAUUGUUAAUAAAAACUAGCAGCAAACAUAAGAUUGCUUUCCUAUUGGUCAUCUGGGGUAGCUGUUCUGUACAUACAUCCACACAUAAACCAUAAAAAGCAUGUUGGACUU